rnacentral:rRNA from 1 species
UACGGGGGGGGCAAGCGUUGUUCGGAAUUACUGGGCGUAAAGGGCUCGUAGGCGGCCAACUAAGUCAGACGUGAAAUCCCCAGGCUCAACCUGGGAACUGCGUCUGAUACUGGAUGGCUUGAAUCCGGGAGAGGGAUGCAGAAUUCCAGGUGUAGCGGUGAAAUGCGUAGAUAUCUGGAGGAACACCUGAGGCGAAGGCGGGCUACUGGGCUGAUACUGACGCUGAGGCGCGAAAGCUAGGGGAGCAAACGGG